AAGUGCUGAAUGGCAGAAUGUCCGUGAGUCAUCGAAUCUUUGAACGCACACUUGCGCCCGUCUGGGUAUUCCGGAGGGCACUGCCUGGUUCGAGCGUCAUUACUCCCCCCUCCAGGCCCCGGCCUUGUGUCUAGUUGGGACUCUCCGCCGCUCUGCCCAGAUGCGGGCUGGAGCCCUCAAGUAUCAUGUGCUACGACGCUCCGGCGGGGGCCCUUGGAAUGCGGUCGAGCUCCUACGCACGCGUCUGGACGGCUCAUCCAGCGGCCCGGAUCUGAACCGAUGAAUUAUUCAGGUUGACCUCGGAUCAGGUAGGGAUACCCGCUGAACUUAAGCAUAUCAAUAAGCGGAGGAAAAAGAAACCCAACCAGGGGAUUGCCUCAGUAACGGGCGAAGUGAAAGCGGCAACAGCUCAAAUUUUGAAAUCUGGCUCCCCUUGGCGGGCCUUAUUUUAUUUGGAGUGAUUCUUCGGGCUGGUCGUCUCUUUUCAACGUGGUAAUA
rnacentral:rRNA from 1 species